AUGGCUUUGGACCAAUCUUCUUCAGAAAAUUUUGGCAUGAUAUCAAACAGUCAAUAUUACCGUUCUUUUCUGCCUUCCACGAUCAAACGGCUUCAACUUGAACGUUUUAACCGAGCCUUCAUGGUUCUCCUUCCCAAAACCCUGGCGCCAACGUCUCCAGAUGCUUUUAGACCAAUCUCUCUCCAAAACUGUACUCCAAAAGCAGUUGCCAAAGUUCUCACUAACAGGGUCAAGCCACUAAUCCCACUGCUCAUUCACUAUGAUCAAACGGGUUUCCUUCACGGAUGCAACAUCGCUGAAAACUUCAUUUAUGCAGCCGAUAUCCUAAGUGCUUGCCACACACACAAAGCGCCGACCAUGGUCUUCAAGGUUGAUUUCAGAAAAGCUUUUGACUCUAUCUGCUGGUCCUCCCUCUUUCAAAUCCUACAAGCUCGAGGUUUCCCCCCACUUUUCUGCUCCUGGGUCCAAGAAAUUCUCUACACUGGGAAAACGGCCAUCCUCCUAAAUGGCAUUCCGGGGCCAUGGAUCCAAUGUCGAUGCGGCUUAAGACAAGGAGACCCUUUUUGUUGCAGAUGUCCUUCAAAAACUGAUUGCCAGUGCUUUCCAACAGAAUGUUCUUUGCCACCCACUAAGACCAAAUGA
rnacentral:rRNA from 1 species